CCCGCCACUACGCCUGUCUGCGGGUGACUGAGUGUAAUCCAGUGGAGGCUCAGAGCGACCCGGCUUUAGGAAACAGAGCUGCUCGCGCUGAUGGGCCGCUCUGUGCCGAAAAGUCCGGAACAACC
ensembl:snoRNA